AGGAAAUGAAUGCAACGACUCCUGUCCAGCUCAGGAGGGGGAAGAUUUAAAAAAGAAAGUUGUUAAGAGGGAACCUGAGACACACUGCUCAUUCUUGCUGAGCUUCCUGUGGAACAUCUCCUCCCAACGAACUGAGGCACUCACCUCCCCACCCCUUCUCUUAACUUCUGUCUGACGUAAAAUCUGUUGCACUCUUCCACAUCCAUCCAGCCCAGAGCUUCGUAUUUGUAUUCAUAUCAUGCACAAGUGAAUGACAUAAAGGGCCCAAACAAUUACCAAGAAUUGCAUCAAGGCCAGG
rnacentral:lncRNA from 1 species